GCCCGGGUAGCUCAAUGGUAGAGCACCUGCCUUGUAAUCAGGCGACAGGAGUUCGACUCUCCUCCCGGGCU
rnacentral:tRNA from 1 species